GGGAUGAACGCUGGCGGCGUGCUUAAUACAUGCAAGUCGAGCGAGGACCACUUGGUGGCAACACCGGGUGGCUCCUAGCGGCGAACGGGUGAGUAACACGUGGGCAACCUACCCCCGACUCUGGGAUAAAGCCCGGGAAACUGGGUCUAAUACCGGAUAUGAACCUCCUCCGCAUGGUGGAGGUUGGAAAGGGUCUCCGGUUGGGGAUGGGCCCGCGGCCUAUCAGCUUGUUGGUGGGGUGAUGGCCUACCAAGGCGACGACGGGUA
rnacentral:rRNA from 1 species